rnacentral:rRNA from 1 species
AGUUAAAAAUCUUAGAUUUUAUUAAAAGAUGAGAAGAACAUAUAGUAUUUUAUUAUUAGGAUAUAAUUUAGGUUUUUUUUACUUCAUUCCUUUAUUUAUAAAUUUAUUCAUUUUGUAGGAGAGACAGUAAAUUUUAAAUAAUUUUCAAUAUUAAUUUUUCAUUUAUUUAUGUUCUUUUUGACCUUGUUUUAUGGAUUACGAGAUUAAAUUGCUUUAGGGAUAAUAGCUUAAUUUUUUCAUUAGAGUUCUUAUCGAUGGAAGAGUUUGCGACCUCGAUGUUGGAUUAAAGCAAGCUUAAGGUGCAGUAUCUUUUAUGCCUCCAGUCUGUUUGGUUAUUAAAUCUUUACAUGAUACAUGAUCCAAACGCUUCCAGCCUGAAUUGCACCAAUCG